GGAAAAUGUUUAUUUUUGAUGAUUUAGGCCCUUAAGUUAGCAGUAAAAGUUCUGUUUGUUUGAAAAAUUGACGACGUUUCGGACGUUCAUGUUGGGCUUCUUCGGGGUUAAAACAGGGGUUUAUUGGCAUCAUUUUUUUGCAGCAGCAUAGCGGGCUUUCCUGAGGAUUAAUUUAAGGUAAAAAACGUUGGUGUAUCUGCAACAUUUACUGAGAUAACCCCAUUUUAAAACUUUCGAAAAGCGAAUAACUUUUAAAGUAUUUGAGGCAUUGGAGGGAAUUUUACUGUAAAAUUUAAAGCGUUUCAUGAAGAAUAAUUCUAUGUAUGAUAGUCUUUUGUAGCACAACAACUUUUUGAGUUACAGAGUGUUUUCUUAGGCAAAGACCUAAAAAAACAAAAAUUCGCCCCUUUAUAGGCAUUUUUGGUGAUAACUUAAAAACCAUUCAACAUAUUUUCAUAAUUUUUUCGCAGUAAUAUAAAGGGCUUUCUGAGGAUGGAUUUAAGGUAAAAAACGUUGUUGUAGCUCAAAAACUCACCCAGUUCUGGCUGAGUCUGUUCAAGUCUCUUUUUUAACAGAAAUUUUCAACUUUGAGGCUGUAUAACUUUAAAACUGUUUGAGGUAUUUGAGGGAGAUUUACACUCAAAUUUAGCGAGUUUCUCGAGCAACAAUUCUAUGUAUUUAAGUCUUUUGUAGCACAAAAACUUUCUUAGUUACAGAGUGUUUUAUUAGACAAGGUCCUAAAAAAACAACAAUUUUCCCCUUAAUAGGCAUUUUUGGUGAUAACUUAAAAACCACUCAACAUAUUUUCACAAUUCUUUCGCAGUAGUAUAAAGGGCUUCCUGAGGAUGGAUUUAAGGUGAAAACCGUUGUUGUAGCUCAAAAACUCACCCAGUUCUGGUUGAGUCUGUUCAAGUCUCUUUUUUAUCGGAAAUUUUCAACUUUGAGGCUGUAUAACAUAAAAACUGUUUGAGGUAUUUGAGAGAGUUUUACACUCAAAUUUAGCGAGUUUCUCGAGCAACAAUUCAAUGUAUUAAAGUCUUUUGUAGCACAAAAACUUUCUUAGUUACAGAGUGUUUUAUUAGACAAGGUCCUAAAAAAACAAAAAUUUGCUCCCUAAUAGGCAUUUUUGGUGAUAACUUAAAAACCACUCAACAUAUUUUCAUAAUUCUUUCGCAGUAGUAUAAAGGGCUUCCUGAGGAUGGAUUUAAGGUGAAAACCGUUGUUGUAGCUCAAAAACUCACCCAGUUCUGGUUGAGUCUGUUCAAGUCUCUUUUUUAUCGGAAAUUUUCAACUUUGAGGCUGUAUAACUUCAAAACUCUUUGAGGUAUUUAAGAAAGUCUUACACUGAAAUUUAGAGAGCUUCUCGAUCAAUAAUUUCAUGUAUUAUAGAUUUUUGUAGCACAUAAACUUCUUGAGUUACAGAGUGUUUUAUUAGACAAGGUCCUAAAAAACAAAAAUUUGCUCCCUAAUAGGCAUUUUUGGUGAUAACUUAAAAACCACUCAACAUAUUUUCAUAAUUCUUUCGCAGUAGUAUAAAGGGCUUCCUGAGGAUGGAUUUAAGGUGAAAACCGUUGUUGUAGCUCAAAAACUCACCCAGUUCUGGUUGAGUCUGUUCAAGUCUCUUUUUUAUCGGAAAUUUUCAACUUUGAGGCUGUAUAACUUCAAAACUCUUUGAGGUAUUUAAGAAAGUCUUACACUGAAAUUUAGAGAGCUUCUCGAUCAAUAAUUUCAUGUAUUAUAGAUUUUUGUAGCACAUAAACUUCUUGAGUUACAGAGUGUUUUAUUAGACAAGGUCCUAAAAAAACAAACAUUUGCCCCCUAAUAGGCAUUUUUGGUGAUAACUUAAAAACCACUCAACAUAUUUUCAUAAUUCUUUCGCAGUAGUAUAAAGGGCUUCCUGAGGAUGGAUUUAAGGUGAAAACCGUUGUUGUAGCUCAAAAACUCACCCAGUUCUGGUUGAGUCUGUUCAAGUCUCUUUUUUAUCGGAAAUUUUCAACUUUGAGGCUGUAUAACUUCAAAACUCUUUGAGGUAUUUAAGAAAGUCUUACACUGAAAUUUAGAGAGCUUCUCGAUCAAUAAUUUCAUGUAUUAUAGAUUUUUGUAGCACAUAAACUUCUUGAGUUACAGAGUGUUUUAUUAGACAAGGUCCUAAAAAAACAAACAUUUGCCCCCUAAUAGGCAUUUUUGGUGAUAACUUAAAAACCACUCAGCAUAUUUUCAUAAUUCUUUCGCAGUAGUAUAAAGGGCUUUCUGAGGAUGGAUUUAAGGUGAAAACCGUUGUUGUAGCUCAAAAACUCACCCAGUUCUGGUUGAGUCUGUUCAAGUCUCUUUUUUAUCGGAAAUUUUCAACUUUGAGGCUGUAUAACAUAAAAACUGUUUGAGGUAUUUGAGAGAGUUUUACACUCAAAUUUAGCGAGUUUCUCGAGCAACAAUUCUAUGUAUUAAAGUCUUUUAUAGCACAAAAACUUUCUUAGUUACAGAGUGUUUUAUUAGACAAGGUCCUAAAAAAGCAAACAAAUUUUUUCUUAACAG
rnacentral:lncRNA from 1 species